GUGUCAGCCGCCGCGGUAAGACGAACCGUGCGAACGUUGUUCGGAAUCACUGGGCUUAAAGGGCGCGUAGGCGGGUUUUCAAGUCCGGGGUGAAAGCCCCCAGCUCAACUGGGGAAGUGCCUUGGAUACUGAAGAUCUCGAGGGAGGUAGGGGCGUGCGGAACUUCCGGUGGAGCGGUGAAAUGCGUAGAUAUCGGAAGGAACACCGGUGGCGAAAGCGGCGCGCUGGACCUCUUCUGACGCUGAGGCGCGAAAGCCAGGGGAGCAAACGGGAUUAGAUACCCCCGUAGUCC
rnacentral:rRNA from 1 species